rnacentral:rRNA from 1 species
AACGAACGCUGGCGGCGUGGAUUAGGCAUGCAAGUCGAACGAGAAACCUAUUUUUGAAGCUUCGGCCGAUUAAAUAGGCGGAAAGUGGCGAACGGGUGAGUAAUACAUGAGUAAUUUGCCGAAGAAUGGGGGACAACAGCUCGAAAGGGCUGCUAAUACCGCAUAAGACCACAGUGACACAAGUCACAGGGGUUAAAGAGGGCCUCUAUUUAUAAGCUCUUGUUCUUCGAUAGGCUCAUGCCCUAUUAGCUUGUUGGUGGUGUCAGAGACCACCAAGGCGAUGAUGGGUAGCCGGCCUGAGAGGGUGGACGGCCACACCGGGACUGAGACACUGCCCGG